UUUCCGUAGGUGAACCUGCGGAAGGAUCAUUACCGAGGUUCCGGAGGGGCGCGCGGGACCCCCCGUCCCCCCUCCACGACCCCCAAAACCUGUGCUCAUCCGCUCGCCGUGUCGCCCUCGCGGGUCCCCCCCGCCGGGGCGGCCGGAAAACUCUCCUGUGAACAACGCAAGUCCGAGCUUCGUCUCGGCGAAUCAGAUAUAGCGAACAAAACUUUCAACAACGGAUCUCUUGGUUCUG
rnacentral:misc_RNA from 1 species